rnacentral:sRNA from 1 species
GGUUCAGCGACAGAGCUGAAACAAGAAGCCCGGAUCCCUCGAUCCGGGCUUU